rfam:Capsicum annuum cultivar Zunla-1 chromosome 10, whole genome shotgun sequence
ACCUCAUGAUUUGGUCAUUGCAUUAAAUUGUUGUUGAAUCUUUUCCAAGCCUCAUAUAAUGAUUCACGAUUAAGUUGGGGAAAGUUGGUAAUUUCAUCCCUUAGUU